ACCAGCACAAAUACAUUCCUGCAAUAAGUUGAUGCUCUGUUAGAAGAGGGAAAUUCAAAUCACUUCAGUCAUUGCCAAGAUCUUGAAGAAUACAUCUUUACACGCUACAUUUUGAGGUUUUUAACUUACCUCACUCAUCUCACUCCAGAAUCUCAAAGGACCAGUCUUUGUACUGCUGAAGAGAUCUGAGAAUAUGAUGAGAACCCUGUAUGACUUGUCUGAUCUGAGACAGACCGGGUUUGGUCAGCCGCCUCCCAGACACGGUCUGAACUUGUUGUGGUGGUUUGCUCAUGAUUGUGUUCGGAUUGACUAUAACGGUCAUAUAAUUGCACAGUACAACCCUGAAAAUGGAGCGUUUGGUUUCCACCGAUUCUAUAAUAUC